CAGAGAACUUGCAAGAGACGCUGUUGCCUUCGGGAACUCUGAGACAGGUGCUGCAUGUCUGUCGUCAGCUCGUGUGUGAAAUGUUGGGUUAAGUCCCGCAACGAGCGCAACCCUUAUCCUUUGUUGCCAGCGAUUCCGGNCGGGAACUCAAAGGAGACUGCCAGUGAUAAACUGGAGGAAGGUGGGGAUGACGUCAAGUCAUCAUGGCCCUUACGAGUAGGGCUACACACGUGCUACAAUGGCAUAUACAAAGAGAAGCGACCUCGCGAGAGCAAGCGGACCUCAUAAAUGUAUGUCGUAUCCGGAUCGGAGUCUGCAACUCGACUCCGUGAAGUCGGAAUCGCUAGUAAUCGUGGAUCAGAAUGCCACUGGUGAAUACGUUCCCGGGUCUUGUAC
rnacentral:rRNA from 1 species